UCUUCCUCUCUCUUUCUGGGUAGUAAGGAGUUCUCCCUCUUUCUGUUUGUGACAAUCCACCACAGCCGUUGCCAUCGCAGGUCACCGUCGUAGAUUGUGCACAAAGCCCAACUGUCAUUCUCAAGUUCCUGCUUCUCGAUUCAAUGCUUAACAGACAAAGAAGUUAGGUAGGCCACCAAAUAAGAUUGAAGUAUUUCGAGCAACUCAUACCAAAAAGGGUACUAAUGGUGUAUUCAUUGAUGGCAAAUCACGACGGGUCGAUGAAGAUUAUACAAGUGCAAUUGUGGAGAAAUAUGGUUCUAAUUCUGAAUUCAUGCCAAUAUUUGAUAUGGAUAAGUGGAUAGAAGUAUCUGGAGGCUUUAAUAAAGGAAGGGUGUAUGGUUUUGGGUCUUCUACAAAAUCUCAAACAAGUGGAUCAUCUACCUCCCAAUUAUGCACAUCUGCUUAUCCUGGGUCAUCUUCUCAGCCUGCGAUGACACAAGAGGAAAUUCAGCAACUUAUAAAAGAAAAAGCAUCACGAAUGAGGGCAGAGAUGAUGGCUAAAAUGCUUGAUCAGGUGCGAAAGGAGUUAAAGACUACAAGUGGUACUCAGUUUCCAACAUCUUCACAGCCAACCGCUUCAGAUUCCACAAAUCCAUAGGAUAAUCUAGAUAAUUGAUUAUGCUAUUUAUGUUUCCGUUUAAUGAUAUUAUUAUGUGUGGAAUAUUAAUAGUACUUUUUCUGAAUAUGAUUGUAUUUUAACUUACAUUUUGUUAAUAUUAGCUACUUUGUAUGGAUUAUUUUACAACUUUA